rnacentral:lncRNA from 1 species
UUUCGACUCGCAUCUUGUCUAGGGGUCCAUUAAUCAUUACCCCUAAAAGUGCUUACACGUCUGAUAUUUUAUGAUAACUUUCUUCUGUUUCAGGGAUAUUCCUCUACCAUUGGCCAUGAGUUUCAGUUAAUUGUGACUGCACAAGAAAUAUAAUUCUUCAUCAUGACCUCAAAAUUAGUCAUAAAGUGUGUGUUCUGCCUCUGCUUCGCUGUAUCGGCUAGCAGCGUCGAAUAUCGACCAGAGGGCGGCCCAGUCUACGUGAACGCAAUUAGCCAUGGAGGCUCCGAAUCAUCUGCCGAAUCAGUCGCUACAAAAGGAAACUUCCUCACUCAAACUGUCUACGGAUUUUUGGAUUUCACAACGACCAUCGGAAAUACCGUCAUGGUGUUUUCUCCACAGAGCUCAGCAGUAGCCGAAGCAAACAAAGAACCGUCAACAGAGCCAAUAGUCACUAAACCGGACGUAACAGAUGAGGAAUCUCAAUCGAUCAGCCCGAGCAGGCCGAUCCCAAGUUCGACGACGGAAGAAGAACGCAAGUCUGAAGAAAGCUCCGUGGGACCGAGUGAACCUGAGACCGAGUUUGUUUCGAGUAUCGUCAGUGUUAUCGAAGGGCCUCAAGACCACGAAAGCGAAGAUGAGGAAGAGUAUGAAAGAGACUCGAUUUUCAGCAGCCCUGGGGACUUCGAAGAUGACUCGGUCGUCGAAUCCAGCCGCGUGGAAGAGGACCCCGAACCAUCCGACUCAUACUCCUCCGAAUUCGUGGAGAACACCCCCGCCUUAGCGACGGCCUCCCCCAAGUUCUCGACGGUCGUCUCCGUCCAAUCGAAGGUGGCCGAGUCCUCCCCUCAGGUGGCCGUAUCCUCCAGGGUCUCCGAGGCCAGCUCCGUCAAAUCGAGGCCCAGGAGCCCGCGAGCACCGAGGCCACCUCCGAAGAGGUCCCCGCCAUCCCCGCCAUCAGCGCCAACAACAUCGAGAACAAACCGGAGUAUGACUUCCUCUCCAGGCAGCCUACUGAAAUCGUCGACGAGACUUAUGAGGUUAUCGAUUUGA